AUUGAACGCUGGCGGCAUGCCUUACACAUGCAAGUCGAACGGCAGCACGGGUGCUUGCACCUGGUGGCGAGUGGCGAACGGGUGAGUAAUACAUCGGAACGUACCUUAUCGUGGGGGAUAACGCAGCGAAAGCUGUGCUAAUACCGCAUACGCCCUGAGGGGGAAAGCGGGGGAUCGCAAGACCUCGCGCGAUUAGAGCGGCCGAGGCGUGAUUAGCUUGUUGGUGGGGUAAAAGCCCACCAAGGCGACGAUCAGUAGCUGGUCUGAGAGGACGAUCAGCCACACUGGGACUGAGACACGGCCCAGACUCCUACGGGAGGCAGCAGUGGGGAAUUUUGGACAAUGGGGGCAACCCUGAUCCAGCAAUGCCGCGUGAGUGAAGAAGGCCUUCGGGUUGUAAAGCUCUUUUGUCAGGGAAGAAACACCGGCUCUAACACAGUCCGGGAAUGACGGUACCUGAAGAAUAAGCACCGGCUAACUACGUGCCAGCAGCCGCCGUAA
rnacentral:rRNA from 1 species